UACAGAGGGUGCAAGCGUUAAUCGGAAUUACUGGGCGUAAAGCGUGCGUAGACGGUUACAUAAGUCGGGUGUGAAAGCCCCGGGCUCAACCUGGGAAUUGCAUUCGAGACUGCGUAGCUAGGGUGCGGAAGAGGGAAGCGGAAUUUCCGGUGUAGCGGUGAAAUGCGUAGAUAUCGGAAGGAACACCAGUGGCGAAAGCGGCUUCCUGGUCCAGCACCGACGUUCAGGCACGAAAGCGUGGGGAGCAAAACAGGG
rnacentral:rRNA from 1 species